rnacentral:rRNA from 1 species
GACGAACGCUGGCGGCGUGCUUAACACAUGCAAGUCGAACGGAAAGGCCCUGCUUUUGUGGGGUGCUCGAGUGGCGAACGGGUGAGUAACACGUGAGUAACCUGCCCUUGACUUUGGGAUAACUUCAGGAAACUGGGGCUAAUACCGGAUAGGAGCUCCUGCUGCAGGGUGGGGGUUGGAAAGUUUCGGCGGUUGGGGAUGGACUCGCGGCUUAUCAGCUUGUUGGUGGGGUAGUGGCUUACCAAGGCUUUGACGGGUAGCCGGCCUGAGAGGGUGACCGGCCACAUUGGGCCUGAGCUACGGCCCAGCCUCCUACGGGAGGCAGCAGUGGGGAAUAUUGCACAAUGGGCGGAAGCCUGAUGCAGCAACGCCGCGUGCGGGAUGACGGCCUUCGGGUUGUAAACCGCUUUCGCCUGUGACGAAGCGUGAGUGACGGUAAUGGGUAAAGAAGCACCGGCUAACUACGUG